rnacentral:lncRNA from 1 species
GUGCCCAACUGGAUAUGGAAGCUACAAAAUCUUCAAAACCUUAAUGUUUCUCACAAUAUGCUCACUGAUUUUGAAGGCCCUUUGCAAAACAUCACUUCAAAGUUGAUAGCCCUUGACCUUCAUAAUAACCAAUUGAAAGGUCCAAUUCCUGUUUUUCCUGAAUUUGCUUCUUAUUUGGAUUACUCAAUGAACAAAUUUGAUUCUGUUAUCCCACAAGACAUCAGUAACUACCUGGCUUUCACAACUUUUCUCUCGCUCUCAAAUAAUACUUUACAAGGCAGUAUCCCUCAUUCCCUCUGCAAUGCUUCAAAUCUUCAAGUGCUUGAUAUUUCCAUUAAUAGAAUUUCUGGAGCAAUUCCCUCAUGUCUAAUGAAAAUGACUCAAACCCUUGUGGUAUUAAAUUUGAAGAUGAACAAUCUCAUUGGUACUAUUCCAGAUGUGUUCCCACCUUCUUGUGUUCUAAGGACUCUUGAUCUACAAAAGAAUAACUUACAUGGACAGAUUCCAAAAUCUCUUGUGAAAUGCUCAGCAUUAGAAGUGUUAGACCUUGCACAAAACAACAUCAUUGACAUAUUUCCAUGUUUGUUGAAGAACAUAUCCACAAUCCGUGUCAUAGUCUUGCGCAAGAACAAAUUCUAUGGUCGCAUCGGAUGUCCAAAAACCCAUGGAACUUGGCCCAGACUUCAGAUAGUUGAUCUAGCCUUUAACAACUUCAGUGGAAAACUACCCGGAAAAUGCUUCACAACAUGGGAGGCAAUGAGGUCUGAUGAAAAUCAAGCUGAUUGUAAGGUAAAACACGUCCAAUUUGAGGUUCUCCAAUUUGGCCAGAUAUAUUAUCACGAUUCAGUGACAGUUACAAGCAAAGGUCAACAGAUGGAGUACGUUAAAAUUUUAACAGUCUUCACAGCCGUCGACCUCUCAUCCAACCAUUUUGAAGGCGAAAUACCAAAACAGUUAUUCGACUUUAAAGCACUCUAUGUACUCAACUUGUCAAACAAUGCACUUUCUGGCCAAAUUCCAUCUUCCAUUGGAAAUCUGAAGCAGCUUGAGUCCUUAGAUCUAUCAAACAACUCACUGGACGGAGAAAUUCCCACACAGAUUUCAACUCUUUCUUUCCUAUCAUUCUUGAACCUCUCUUUUAAUCAACUUUCCGGAAAAAUCCCAACAGGUACACAACUUCAAUCAUUUCCAGAAACUUCUUUCAUUGGUAAUGAAAAACUAUAUGGCCCUCCUUUGCCAACAAACAACAGCAACAAUAAAAUCCGACCGACAACAGAAUCUGUCAUGAAAUUUGAUUGGCAGUAUGUAUCCACUGGAAUUGGUUUCGGAGUUGGAGCUGGAGUGGUUUUCGCACCAAUGAUGUUUUGGGAGAGAGGCAAGAAAUGGAGCAAUGGCAUCAUAGACAAAAUUCUCAUGGCAAUUCUUCCAUUAUUUGGAUUGGUUUAUACUCCAGUUGAUGAUGAUGAAGAAGAUGACACAAAAGAGGACCCAAAUAUGACAGAUGACAGUGAAUACAAUGAAGAGGAAGAUUAUUGGAGUUAUCCAAGAUUGUAUUGUGUGUUUUGUUCCAAAUUUGACAACAAUAAGAAAAAGGUUAUUCAUGAUCCAAAUUGCACAUGCUUCCACUCAUCACCAGGUUCAAAUUCAACAGAUUAUUCAGAUUCAUAUUCUUAUUAGUCACAUACAAAAGAUGAAAACUUGAUUUUUUGUUUUUGCUUUUUUUUUUUUGCUUGUCAUUAUUCUUUUCCUCUGAAUGCAUACAUGUAUAUGUAUAUGUAUAUUGUAUAUAAACACACAAAAUCAUUCCAAUUGUGGCAAUCUAUGAAGCACUGACACACACAUGAUACGACAAUAAAACAUACAUGUAGAUACUGAUAAAAAAUUAAAAAAUAUAUUUGAUUUAGUAUAACUACAUGCGUCAGUGUCGUGUUGGCGGCCAACUUCAACAUUAGUCGGACAAGGGUCGCGCCUUUAAUCUGAAGUGUCAGUGCUACAUAAUGUACAGCCUUAUGUUGUAAACUGUGAUGAUAAAAAAAGGUUAAAUGUUCAGUCAGGAUUUUCAUCAAACAUUUUGUAGGCAUAUCAAUAAUUGCGAUUUGUGUUAAAAUGGAAACCUCUUUAUUGUGAUACAAAAGAUUAUUGCGAUUUGUUAAAUAUAAAACCUCUUUACUAUGAAAAUGCAUGUGUUUGGUUUGGUUGGAUUGCACGUUUAGUGGCAAAAACCUGGGUUUGCAGGUUAACUAAAACAAAGUUGUCGUGAUUUCUAAAAGCUACAUUUUUACAACUUUUGCAAAAUAAGAAAUCAAUCAACAAAAUAAUAAUAAAUCAAAAUGAUUUUUUUUUAAAGCUAUAGAACUAAAGUAAAACAAUAAAGCAAAAUAUCUAACUUUUUUUUUUACUCAAACAAAAUGUCUAAUUAAAAAUUCCAAAGGUUGAGAAAUCAAAAUUAAAUUGAACCCUUCUUUUUCCCUUCAAAUAAGAUACCUCCGGUUACAUUUAUAAGUAAAAAUAUAUUUUUUAGGUUCAUUUAAUAUUUAAUGUAUUUGGUCAGAUCAAAUACAUUAAAUAUUAAAUAAACUUAAAAAAUAUAUUUUUAUUUAUAAAUGUGAUCAAAAAAUAAAUAGAUAACAUCUCAUUUUCACUUAAAUAAAUUUAAAAAGUAUAUUUUUACUUAUAAUGUGAUUGGAAGAAGUAAUUAGAUAACAUCUCAUUUUCAUGUUCGAGAUUGUUUCUUUCUACUUUCCACUUGUUUUUUAUAAGCAACGUUCCACUUUUUUUGUUACUACAAGAUCCUUGAAUUUCGUCAAGAGCUAGAACACUCAAAAUCCUCGACGUGUAGCACCACGUGUUAUGCUCCUAAGACAUUGCUCUCACACAUCAAAUUCCUCACGAUACACUUUGCCACAUGUCACAAACCUACCAUUUUUCCGAAAAUUCCACACCCCAUAAAUCACCACUUUCAAUUCUCACUUUUUCUUCCCAUAAUAACGCAAAAUCACACACCACCAUCGUCACAAAACACAAGAAUAAGAUCAAAGAAGCAAAGAAAAAACACCCUAAAGAAAAACAACAAUAUGGCUAGUGAUGGAAGUGAAGUGUUCAAGUUGGUGUCACCAGCAAUAGCAAACGAAGGAAAACUACCAAGACAAUUCACUGAUGAAGGACAAGGAGCAAAGAAAAACAUAUCACCACCAUUAGAAUGGUACAACCUACCAGAGGGGACAAAAUCUCUUGCACUUGUUGUGGAGGAUAUUGAUACACCCGAUCCAGAAGGUCCAAUUGUACCGUGGACAUGCUGGGUCGUGGUGAAUAUUCCUCCGACAAUUAAAGGAUUGCCGGAGGGAUUUUCCGGCAAAGAGGAGGAGAUGGGUGGUGAAUAUGCUGGGAUCAAAGAAGGGAACAAUGAUUUAAAACAACCUGGGUGGCGUGGUCCGAGGUUGCCUACACAUGGUCAUAGGUUGGAGUUUAAGCUCUAUGCCUUGGAUGAUGAGCUUCAUCUGGGUAAUAAGGUAUAUAAUUUUUUUUGUAAAUUCUAUGUUUUCUAUAUUUUGUUUGCUGAAAUUGUUUUCUUCUAUAUAAAAAAUAAUAUAAAUAUAUGAAAAAUAAUACUACAAGAAUAUUUUCAGUAUGUGUGUUUAAAAAAUAAAAAUGAAAUUGGUUUCAUAUAUGAUAUCAUGUGACAUGUUUGCUUCAUAUUAUAGCUUCUAAAUUAAACUUAUUUGAAUUGGUUCGGUGAUGUUGAUUUGAAAUUUUGGAGUAUACUGCUCUUUAAAAUUUCAAGUUCAAUUCUUUCUAAUAUCACUAAUAUCAAUAUUAAGAUAGACUAAUUUAUCUUAUUAAAAAAUGGAUAUAAACCGGAGUAUCUUAUUAGAAAGUUUAUUUUUACUCUCUUUCAUUUGGUGAACUACUUGCAGGUGACUAAGGAGAAAACCUUGGAGGCCAAGGAAGGGCACGUGCUAGGAGAAGCGACUUUGAUGGCUAUAUUCUAAAUAAUAUUGUGAUGUAAAAAUUUGAACUAUUACUAGUAUACAAUGUCUUUGAGUGAUGUAUCAUUUGAAUCCAAUGAGAGAUGAUUUUAUUUAAUCCCAUCACACUAUACUUUUGUCUUAUUUGCGGAUUAAUUGAUUGAAACUUCACCUAAAGCUAAUUAUGUUUUUUUAGGCAAAUAGUCAUUUUUGUAUUUGGAUAUCUAACAAGUAGUUAUUUUGAUUUUGCACCAAAUUUGUCCAUAACAAUAAAACAUUCUCUUAAUGAAAGUGAUUUUGUAUUUUUGCAUUAACAUUGUCAUUUUAACGUCAGUGACAUCUUGACUUACAAAGUCCAUAACAUUAUUUUAGAAUAAGUAAACUAUUUUUGUUUUUGAGUGUCUACGUUGUAAUUUAUAUUGCUCCAAUCAUCAAGACUUCGAGGCUUACAAAUUAAAUUUAUAAGGAAUAUUUAUAUUGUAAAUUGUAAAUUGCAAAUUAAAUUUUCUUUUCAUGUUAUUAUGUUUACAAAGUAAAUUUCUUGUUAAUAAUAUUUUCUUUUAGUAAAGUAAAAUUGCAAAACCAUAAUCAUUUCUGGUAAUUGACCUUGUUAUGAAAUUAAUCUCCAGAGAAUGAAUUUUAUCUAUUUUUUUAAUUAUUAAAUCUACACCUAAAAAGGAAAAAGGGAUACAAUCUUAUAGAGAAAAGAGAAUAUUGACUUUGUGUUGAGAUCUAACAAUUAAGAAAAAUGGAGAGAGUUCAACUUCAGAGAAUCUAUUCCCGUCGUCCUUCUGAAACAUUUCACUAACAAAUGGAGCACAAAAUUUAAACCAACUAAAUCUAACAAAAUACAAAUAGACAAGUUGAAUAAGAUGGAUAUGUAAACAACAUUCAAAUAUCUUUUUAGUCCUCACAUUUUGCGCGCAUUUGAAGAAUAGUUCCUAUAUUUCAUUAAAUAUUUUUAAAAUUCUCACAUUUUAUCUCCUUUAUUCAAAUUAGUCCAUACUGUUAAUUUUUUAACGGAAUGUUGAUGUGGCAGUUAGUGGGUCGUAAAUAUUUUAGGGUUAAAUAUGUUUUUGGUCCCUACAUUUUGCAUGACUUUGAAGAAUAGUCCUUAUUAUUUUAGGCAUUUUAAAAACAUUUAUUGAAAUGUAAGAACUAUUUUUCAAAGUCACGCAAAAUGUAGGAAGCAAAAACAUAUUUAACUUUAAAAUAAUUAGGAUUCACUAACUAUCACUUCAGUGUUCUGUUAGAGAAUUAACAACAAGACUAAUUUUGAUAACGGAGAUAAAAUGUGAGGAUUUUCCAAGACUAAUACCCAUCAAAAACAUAUUACAUGCCACUUUUUUUUUUUUUUUUUUCGGAGCACGUUUGAGUUUUUUCUAGACUCUAAUUCUUCUGUCUGGACAUAAAUUUGAUGCCAUCAAACCACCACCAAUUUGUAUAAUCACUUAAUCGGUCAAUUUGGAAAGCUAUUUCAUUAAAAGAAUCACAACAAUCAUUUAUUUUUCGCAUAAACCAUUCGUUUUCCCCCUUCUCACAACGGAGGAGUGACAAAUUCAAACGACACCGUUAGGUAAAUUUCACGUCUUUCACUUAAUUUUUUUUUUAUUUCGUUUCAUGUUUAGAAGUUCUUCUGAUUCUAUUUUUUUACUGAAUCUUAGCUACAAAAAAAAUUACGUUUUUACUUUUCUGGAGCCUAUUUUAAAAAGAGAGUCGAGCCUCCUAUUUAAGAACGGCCCUGAUAAAUGUAUGUCCCACCACUUUAUGUGGGCUCCAUUUUCAAAAUGUAAGACCCACAUUGAUUUAAGCAAAUUAAAAAGUAAGUAUUAGAGAGAGUGUUCAAAAGAGAGUGUUGCUAAAACUACUCAUCAACUAAUUAAUUGAAAUUUUAUCUCUUCCAUAUAAUACAUUUGCACUCAAUUUUUGGUUUUAAAUAAAAAUGUAAACAAAACUAUCAUAACAAUUUUACCAAAAAUCUUGGUUUAAAAGUAUUUGGUAUUUAAAUAAUUGAAAAUUUUAAAAUGAUAACUGGAAAACAUAAAUUAAACUUGAUGGCUUAUUGUACACAAUAAAUAUUUCAGUGCAAAAGGAGAAAUGAUAAAUAGACACACAUUUUUUGACACAAUAUAGACAUUAUGGGCAAUUUAGACUUUUCAACCUUAAAAUAUGGGCAUUGUUGUAAAUACUUCUCACCCCUCUUCUUCCUCUCUUCUCUAUGUGUGUGUAGAAUUCCCAAUCCUCCUCUCUUCCUCUCUUCUUCUUCCUCAACACUUACCACUACCAUCAACUUUCUUCUUUCCUUGUACCUUCUCUCUUGUCUUCCUCCACCAUCCUCCUCACCUCCGUCCAACACCAACCACCAUCUCUCUCAGAUCUAGAUAUCAGCCGCCGACACCAUCCUCUUCUCCCUCCAUCGCCGGAUAUCCGUUCAGCCGCCGUCCAUCAUCGUCAGUUAUGGACCUCCACUACCGGCGACAUUCACACCACAACCUCCUGCUGUCUAUCUUUCAUUCGUUCUAGAUCUCAUAUUCAUCUGUAUUUCUUUGAUUCCAUAUGUGUUGCAGAUCUGAGGAGAAUGAGCGGCCGGCCACCGAGUUGCAGAGCCGGUGGCGGCGGUGGUACGAAAGAGAAAAGAGAAGGGUUGCAAGGAAAUGAAAAAUAAAAAAUAAUUAAAAAAAAGCAAGAAAAAUGGAGUAUAAAUUAACAGUGUUAAAAGAAAGAAAAUAUAGUAUAAUUAUACUAUGGUGUCUGUAUUGUGUCACAAAAAAUGUGUUCAGUUAUCAUUUCUCACAAAAAGAUACCAUAGUAAUUUGAAUCUCACCUUAUUUCUUUUUACGGAUAAAAUACGAUUACUGUGUUUAUAUUUCACAUGAGAUUGUGUUUGUAUUUGGAACACCACCGAUGAAACCUACCCGGUUUUUAUAUUAUAGAAUAAAAAGAGAAUAAGCACACUAACUAACAAGAGAGUUUUUUUUAACCAAUCUUAUUCUAAUAACUCAAUUUGUAUUUUUUAGGCUUGAUACAUCGUUUGGUUCCUUAAAUUUAUUUUAUGUUUUCAAUUUGGCCCCUAACUAUUAAACGUAUCAAAUUGGUCCUUUAUCUUCUUUUCAUCAUUUAAUUUAAUAUUUUAUUCAUUUUAACACCCAAAAAAAGGAGACCGUUGGAUAAAUGACGUCUAUCAGAUCUAAGUGUGAAUCACCAACACCAGAUUUAUUUUACUUUUUUUCAUCAUCUUCCUCCAUCUUCAUCUUCAUACAACCUUCAUCAAUCUUCACCACAUUCAAAAAUUCAUCAUUUCAACUUCAACAAAAACCACAUAAUCAAACCUUUAAAUUUAUAAUUAACACCACCACCAUCAUUCAAAAUUGGAUCAAAUGGGUGAGAGAAAGCAUGGUUCACGUUCAUUUUGUUCAGCAACAACAACACCACACCAUCAAUAGUUCGAACUUUUUCAACUGGAUGAAUUGAAGCAUGGCUCACGUUCAUUUCUUCAUCCAAUUGCACUUCAAUUCAUAAUCUCAUGCCACCCAACUUUUUCUUCUUCACCAAAUCUAAUCAAUACCCAUAAAAUAAUUUCAAAACUCAAUUAAGUAAUCAAUAACCCAAUUAAUUAAUCAAUAACACAUGAUCUAAAAAGUAUUCAAAUAUAAUAAAAAUGAUAACUUUAUGGUAUUUUUUAUUGGAUAAUUAUAACUAACAUGACCCUUUAAUUUAUGGCUUAAUAGCAGUUUUGGCCCUCUGUAUUUCAAGAAGUUGAGAUUUUGGCCUCCUAACUAAAAUAAACUACAAAGCCGCCUUCCAAGUAUUAAUUUUUUGGCAGUUUUGACCCCCCAUAUCAAUUUUGACUAAGUCAAAGCUGAUAUGGACGCCACGUGUGUAUUUAUUUAUUUUAAUUAUUAAAAAAUAAAAAUAAUUUAUUUUAUUUUAUUUUUUAAUUAAAAAAUAUAUAUAUUUAUUUUUUUAGUUAAAAAAUAUUUAUUUUUUUAAUUAAAAAAAUAAAUAAAUACACAUGUGGCAUCCACAUGUGCAUUGACUUGGUUAAAAUUGAUCUGGAGGACCAAAAUUGCCAAAAAGUCAAUACUUAACGGGCGGCGGUUUUGUAGUUUAUUUAAUUAGGAGGCCAAAAUCGCAACUUCUUAAAACAUAGGAGGCCAAAACUGCUAUUAAAUCUUAAUUUACAUACAUAAAAGAUUGCAACUUUAUAAUGAAAACUAACAAAACAUACAUAAUCAAUUCCUAGCUUAUAGGACAUGAAUUAAAAAAAAACCAAAAAAAAACAGAAAAUGGCACAGAAAAAGAAACAUACCAAGAUGAAGAAUUGGAGAGAGAUCUAUGUUGGAAGCAAAAUGGAAGAGAGACAGAAGAGUGUAUGCAGAGUGUCGUUGUUGUUGUUGAAUGUUGGUGUACGCAUCAUUUGUGAGAACUUUUCUUUUCUUUGUUUGGUGGUCAAAGAGGAAGGAUUUUGGUGGAUGAAAGUUUCUUUUUGGAGUGAAUGGUUGUUGGUGAUCCAGAUGAUUGUUGUGGUGUUAAUUAUAGUUUUUAGAGUUUGAUUAUGUGAUUUUUGUUGAAGUUAAAAUGAUGAAUUUUGAGAAGAACAAAAAAAAAGUUGAAGAUGAUGAAGAUUGAUUAAGGUUGUAUGAAGAUGAAGAUGAGGAAAAGAGAUGAAAAAUGUAAAAUAUAUUAGGUGUUGGUAAUUCAUAGUUAGAUUUGAUAGACCUCAUUAAUCCAACUAUUUCCUUUUUUGGGUGUUAAAAUGAAUAAAAUAGGAUUAAUUUAAAACGUUUAAUAGUUAGGGGAUUAAAUUGAAAACGGAAAAUAAGUUAAGGGAUAAAUAAUGUAUUUUUUAUGUUAUUUUUUCCUUUCUCUCAUGUACCGUUUAUUUUAUGUUAUUCGAUCAAUGCAGAGGAGAGAUCAGGUCCAACCGCUAGGUGUUGUCAAACGUGUCGAGGUCAUAAUAUUUCAAUUCUUCUAGCAUGACACUUGUUCAAUCACAGUCAUCAUUUAUAGACAUGAACUUACAAACCCAACGCAAAUUAAUCAAUUAUAGCAUUUGCAAAAUACGCAACAAAGUGCACAAAUAGUAAGCAUAUUUACAUUGCUAUCCAUGGCUAGCAAAGAAUUCAGGUUGGUUUCACCAGCAAUUGACAAAGAAGGAGGUGUCAAAUUACCAAGAUAUUACACACAUGAAGGCGUAGGUUCAAAGUGGAAUAUAUCUCCACCUCUAGAAUGGCUUAACGUUCCUCCCAAAACCAAGAGCCUAGCUCUUUUGGUGCAGGAUGUUGACACCGUGGAUCCAACUGGACGCACGGUGCCAAUCACCCAUUGGGUAGUGGUCAAUAUUCCGGCAACUUUGACAAAGUUGCCAGAAGGAUUGUCGGGAAAGGAAGAUGAAAUGGGAGAUGAGUAUAAUGGAAUUGAAGAAGGAGUUAAUGAUUGGAAGGUGAAUUUGUGGCGUGGUCCUAAGACUCCUAACUAUGGUGAUAGGUUUGAGUUUAAGCUCUAUGCUUUGGAUGAUCAUAUGCACUUUGAUAAUCAGGUAAAAGCUUGACUAGCUAGUAGAGCUUGAAAGGAUCGACACAACUUUUUGACUAGCUCGAAUAUUAUUUGAACAAUCCAAAUUUUACAAUAUCUUGGAUAAUCGUAUAAAAAUAUAUCAUUUAUAAUUAUUGAUUCGACUCAGAAGAAAAAAACUAAUAAAAAUAGAAAAUUACAGCUAAAUAAUUUAUACGUUGUUGAACAACUAAAUAGUUGUUGAAAUAACAUUAUUUAUCUAUGAAUUUAUACUAUAUAUACCUUCUAUUUUGCUCAUUUGAAACUUUGACAGGUGACAAAGGAGAAGCUGUUGGAUGCAAUAACAGGCCAUAUACUUGGAGAAGCUGUAAUGAUUGCUACUUUCUGAUAUAUGCACUGCCAUCUUAACAAGGCCAUGAAGAUUAGUCCAAAGAAUGUUCACCUAUAUUAUUUCUGCUUUUGUAAUUUUUUUUUGUGUAUAUUAUAUUUUACUUUGCAUGUAUUUUGUCAAGUUUUGUGAAAUACUAUAAAUCUUUACAGGACGUGAAGUCAUGCAGCAUUGAAUUCCUUUAGCUUUACACAAAAGGAAAAUACCAAUAAUUGCUCAUUUUACUUUUUCUAGCUAUUGUCAGAACAUUAUAGAUUAAUGAAAGUAAUAAACAACAAUCAAGUGUAGCAUUUUUUAUGAGAAUUAGAAACUAAAGCACUCUAAAUUACAAAAUAUUUUAGAACUAAUGUCAAAUUCUUUAUGCAAACAAUAUAACAGAAAUGUCAUUCCAUGGAAAUACGGCUUUCCAUAAACAAUACAAUGCAGUGUGAAGGUGACAUCAUAUAUAUGAUUCAUUGGCUUUGUAAAUUCCAUUCCAUGGUUAAUAAAAUAUUCUUUAUCAGUAUGACAGUGAAUAGAAUGUAUGCCAACUCUCAUAUACUAUAAUGCUUGAUAGUCUUCUACUUCUGAAGCUUGCAUUAUUAGUGUAAUUAUGUUCUCCGCCUUUCAAAAUUUAGAAAUCACACGAACUGAGUUAGACCUUCAAAAUUUAUGGCAUAAUAAUUGGAUAUCUUAAUUUGAAAAUAAGACCAAAAACACUAAAGUAAUAUAUCAUUAGGUGUAUCAAGAUUAAUAUGUGAAUAAAACAGUAUACAAGAUGUUCUUGUUAAAAAAAAACAGUAUACAAGAUGUUAGGUAGAGAAUGGUAUCUAUCAACAUAUGGAGAAAAUAAAGGAAAAUAACCUAGCUUGGCGCGCAAGUUAACUAAUUAGAUGCAUUUGCAUUUAUGAUUAAUUUCACUUGUAAUUACAUUUACAUCUAGUUAGUUAGAGUAGUUACUAUGAGCUGGCACCAAUGUGUAUAUAACUCCUUGUCAUGAACUAUCACAAUCUAAUGAAACAUUUUUUCAUCUUUCUCCAUUUUGGAGCUUUUCUUCCUUCAUCCAUGGAGAUUUAUUUUACUUUGAUGGUAUCAAUGUGUGUGUCAAAUGAUGUCAAUAUUUAGCUGACAAUCAGAAUCAAAUUAAACAAAUGUUUUACCAAAAUGGAACAAAAUGAACUUAUUGGGUUGAUAUAUAAAGUUUUAAAGGCUCUAUAUAUCUAGAUUUUGGAGUUGUAUCCUCUUGGUUUCCUUUUUAUUUUUUUUGAGUUAUAAGGAUUUCCUUUGUGUUUCCGGUUUGAUUAUGAUGUUUAUUGUUAUAAAUCAACUUUUAUAUUUCUAUUUUGAAUGAAACACUAUCACUAUAAUUCUCAAUGACACUUUUAUUUAAACUUCAUAGAAUGUUUUUUCAAAGUUAUAAUACAUAUCAUCACACACAAAGUACAACUUAAAUGGAAAUAGAAAACAUUAUGUCAAUAAUUAUCACAAUCUCUAUCAAUAAUGUUAUCACCACCUUAAAGUUCUGUAUGUCUGUCAUCUAUCAGUUGCAUAUUCAAAAUACAUCCUUUGGAAGAUCCGACAGAGAAUUUUGUCUGCGAGUUUCCAAUAGCUUACUCUCCAUUUCUUCCAAAACAAGAGGGGACAGAUGAUGAUUCCAAGCCCAAAAACAAAUCCCAACUCCACACUUAAAAAAUUCCAGUCAAUUGAACAAGCUAACCUUUCACAAGCUGGCUGUAGGGGCAGCUCAUCCUGCCUGUUACCAUUUAGUUUUUCAGGCAGUAGAGGUCCAUAUAGCCCCUUGUUUCCUUCAAAUGAAGACGCUUGAAAUGACUGAAGUUGAGUACCUGUAGGGAUCUUUCCAACCAAAUGAUUGAAGGAAAGGUUCAAAUAAGAAAGGAAUGAUAAGCUUGCAAGUUGCACAGGUAUUACACCAACCAAGGAGUUAUUUGAGAGGUCUAAUGACUCUAACUGUUUCAGGUUCCCAAUAGUUGAUGGGAUUUCACCGGAGAUACCAUUGUUCGAAAAGUUGAGAACAUGGAUUGCUUUGAAUUCCAUCAGAACCUGUGGUAUUGGUCCUUCAAAAUGAUUGGAUGAGAAAUCAAUGGCUGUGAAGAUUGCUAGAAUUUUAACAAACUUCAUUUGCUGACCUUUAAUAGAAACUGUCACACUAUCCUGAUAGUAUGAGCAGUCUUUGUUUCGCGUGUGGAUGAAGUCUGGUAUAACAUCAACUUCAUCUUGCAUCAUUCUAUCCCAAGUUGCGAAGUAUUUUUCUUGUAACUUACCAUUGAAAUUGUUGCAAGAAAUGUCCACAAUCUGAAUCAUUUUCCAAUGCUUAUCUGCUUGUGAAUGUGAACAUUCUAUGGUUCCAUGAAACUUGUUGUUCCGUAAAACCAAUACACUAAGAGUUGGUAUGUAUUUUAAAAAACAUGGAAAGCCACAAAGAAUUUGGGUUGAUCCAAUGUCUAACACCUUUAAUGAUGAGCAGUGGGAAAGAGACUUCGGAACAACAAGUCCUUACAACACAAGAAGCAGGAAACAUAUCUGGUAUAGAACCAGUGAGAUUGUUUUUACUCAAAUUUAUAACCUCAAUUGUAACAGCCAUUGUCAUUAAACAUGCGGGCAUUGUUCCAGAAAUUUUAUUAAUGGAAAGAUCAAGCACUUGAAGAUUUGAAGCAUUGCAGAGGAAUGAGGGAAACUUCCUUGUACUUUAUCAUUUGAGAGAGAGAGAAACAAUGUGGAAGACAAGUAAUUACCAAUAUCUUGUGGAAUACUAGAAAAAUUGUUUGUUGAGUAAUCCAAAUAAAUAACAGAUUGAUGAAACAUGGGUAUUGGUCCUUGCAGCUGGUUGUUAUGAAGGUCAAGAAGUAUAAGGUUGGGAAUAUGAUUCGUCAUUGGUCUUUGAAAGUUAGUAAGAAAAUUGUGAGAAAUAUUUAGCUUAUCAAGAUAUGGUAGUUUCCAAAUCCAGUUUGGUACUAUUCCAUGAAUCUGGUUAUCUGAAAGGUCUAGAGAGCCCAAUCCGGAUUGGUUAAUCAAGAAAUUAGGAAAUGUUUUAAAGUUGCAGGAUGCCAAACCUAAAACAUUAAUGUUGGGAAUAGAAAGUAAAUCAUAAUUUGAAGCAUUCCAACUGAUUGAUAAGUUGUUGUAUGAAAGAUGGAGUUCACUUAAACUUGUAAGGCCAAAAAGUUCAUCUAAUUGGACGGAUCCAGUGAACUUGUUAGACGAAAGAUCAAGGCGAUAAAGUGAACCAAGCUGCAAUAUAGAUUUUGGAAAAGGCCCUGAUUGAUCAUUGCUUCUUAAUUCAAGGGAUUCUAAUAUAGAGGAAGAUAUGAUUGUGAAUUCUUCAAGUUUACUGAAGUGGUUGAAUGAAAGUCGGAUACUUUUCAGAUACGGGAGUGUAAAAAGGACCGAUGAAAUGCUACCAUUGAUAGAAUUAUAACUCAAGUCAAGGUUAACAAGAUUCAGAAGUCCUUCAACGUGAAAAGAAGAUGAAACCUCACCACUUAAACUAUUAUAAGAAAGGUCUAUGUGGUUAAGGUUUUUGGCCAUACUAAAUGAUGGUAUCGGACCUGUGAAACUGUUAAAUGACAAAUCCAAGUAACUUAGUUCUGUUAGGUUUGAAAAUGAAUUGGGAAGUGUUCCAUUAUAUUGAGAAUUAGAAAGAUCCAAUAUAUAAGUGCCUCAUCUUACCAAUGAUGUGUGGAAUUCCUCCAGAGAAGUUUGUGAAACUUACCCUUAAGGUGUGGAGAGAUCCACUCAGCUGAAUUUCUGGAAAUGAACCAUGGAGAUUGUUGUUGUGUGCUAAGUCAAUAACGGAGAGUUUUUCAAUUUGAAAGAUCUUUUGUGGAAAUGUACCUGUUAAUCCACAAGAUGUAAGACUAAGGGUGGUCAGGUUUUGAAAAUUGGCAAAUGUUUCUGGAACGGGGGAAGAAAAAUUGUUCCUAUCAAGAAUAAUGACCGAUAGGUUUUUUAGUUUUGAUAGGGAAGAAUCUAGUGGCCCUGCUAGAUCACAGUUAUACAUGCUCAACUCUUGUAGUUCACACAGCGGCAACAAAGCAUUGCUCCAUUCAGGUCCCUCAGAUGUUAGAGUUAUACCUUCUAAAUACAGUUGCCUAAUCUUGGUAAGAUUUUGGACAAACUUUUGUAGAUUUUGGUUGUUCAUUGUCAACAGGUUCUUUAUCGCAUCUUUAGGUCCAGAGAUAUCAAGAGUAAUCAAAUUUGUAAGCUGUGAAAUAUCUAUAGGAAUCUCACCCUGAAAGCUUGCGUGUGAAAAAUUAAGAUAAUUCAACAUCACCAAUUUGUUGAAUCCUGAUGGAAUGAAAGUUUCGAACAAGUUAUAAGCCAAAUUCAGUUUCUGGAGAUGAUCGAGACUGAAAAGACUACUUGAACUAUCAAAUCCACCAUGGAUAUGUUCUUCACUUAAGUCGAGGCCAAUCACUUGUCCUCUACUGUCACAAGUUACACCGCUCCAAUUGCAGCAAGCUAUGCUUUGAUUCCAUAUCCUCAGUUUAGUGGAACUUUUUGGGUUAAAUGUGAGGUUAUUUUUUAAUUGGAUCAACAAUGAUCCUCAAGACAUUUGGCAGAGGCAAAAGAGAUUUGGAAACUAUUAUAUAUGCAGUAAUAGCAGCGAAGGAAGGAAAACAAUGACACUAAUGUAAUUUUCAUUGUUGUUUAAUUACUUACAGAUGAUGAUGGUCUUAUAAAGCUGUGGACACGAGAAGUUUUGUUUAACAAGACCCGUAAAGUUGCAAGUCAUGCAAUGGCAACUAAACAUUGCAUCAUUUCAAAGUAAACCACAUCAUGGGAAAUUACUUGACCCAUAAAAUUAAUCUCUCUUUGCCAAUUUUUCUCUGGAAAACUUUGAUUACUAAAAGUUAAAAAUGUGGUAUGGAAUACAUUUUUGAAAUUUCAUUAGGUUACAUUAAUCUUGACUUCCAAGUCUUCAUUAAUUAUGCAUAAGAGUUUGUUAUCCAUUGAGAAAAUAUAUAUGUUGCUAUAAUCAUUGGUGUAUAGAAUUGAACACAUUUUGUUUUCACAUUCUCGUUGGGGGGUAGUUAGUUAUUCACUUGGUCUCUAACAAUGACUAAGAAUCCGUUAAUAUUCCAUCAGCUUGACCAAUAAAGCAUGAAUGCAGCACAUCAUGUUUAUAGUGGUUUAUGAAUUUCUAUCUAACUAUCUUUCAUUGAUAUACAUUAUUCUUUUGGUACAUGAACCCGUACAUUUCCAUAAUUGAUAGUUUAAUUAUUAUUAUUUUUCAUAUUAAUUAGCAUAAUCUUUUCAUGUUCUCCGUUAUAGCCUAUGAAGCACGUACGCUCAUCGUUAGGUGUGCCCUUUUAUAGAACACACGUCGGUGUUCGUCAGACACCGACACAUAUAAUUACAUUAAAUUAUCUUAUUUUUUAAAUUAUUAUAAAUGUUAGAUGUGUUGGUACCCUUGUCGUGUUUGUGUCAAUGCUUGAUAAACUUUGGCAAACAAAAAUAUCUCCAUGAAAGAGCAUACCCAAUUUUGUACCGAAAAUUGUUUCCUGUAGCUUUUCCUACAUAAUUAUUUACACACGUUCAAAUCUCCUAUUAUUAUUAUAUUUAUUAAAUUAAAUUAGACCCAAAAUUUAUAUGUCAACAAUAUCAUCGCUUAUUACUUCAUAUAGUCUUAUUUUUGCCACGUCGCAUAUAUUCCAAUGCGGCACCUCCAAAAUUCCUCCUAGAAUCCUCCUUUCUAUUUUUUUUUUCUUCUUACAAGUCUUUUGUGCAACACAAAUAUGUGAGGUUUUAUUAUUUGGUCAUAAAUCAAAUUCAUGUAACUUUUAACACCAAAAAUGAAAUAUUUGGUCGAACUAAUGAUUAUGUUUUCGACAAGGCAGAUGUGUUAUUUCGACAUGCUGUAAAAUGCAAAUGGAUUUUGACCAAUAACAUACAUACUUCGACACACUGCAAUUUCGACCAACGACAAGGAGAAAUAAGUUGAAGUUGCAAUUGGAGCGAAUGGCGGGAAACAAGGCUGAAAUGCAUUGAAGAUUAUUUCCUAGUGUCUUAGUGCAUGGAAGAUUAUUUCCUAGGAAGUUAUUUCUACUUUCAAUAUAGACUGUAGGAUUUAGUGGUAGUUUUCUCUACAAAGUCUAUAUAUAUAUAUAUAUAUGUAAUAAUAACAAUUGGUUGGUUUCUUGAUUUUCGAAACUCCAACACCCUCGCCGCCACACAGAGCAUAUGUGUUCACGAGUGUAUGGAUUGACAGAUUCCAACCACCCUUUACAUUCCUGCAAUUUAAUAUCAAAGUUCUUGUUUUACUUUCCUUUUUCUUUUGCAUUUCUUUUCAUCUUUAUUCUAUUUCUUCUUCUUUUUAACAUGCUUACUUGAGCAAUUUUCUAUCACGUUGUCAUGAGACAACUUGUUAUUACAAGAUGUUGGAAGCGAUUCUAACAUUAAUGUUCUUAAAGAAUCCAUGAAGUGAUGUCAUAAUCCACGAGGCUUGAACGAUCCCCUUUAAAAAUACAUUUGUCAUCAUCGAUCGACAUUUAUGUCCUAAAACCAUUGAUGGAUACCAUUAAUGGAUAAUGAAGUUUACAUUACCAAAAAUCGGUGUAAACACCUCCACAAAAAAGAAAAAAGUGAUAUGUAACUUGUCUAUAUUCUUUUUUAAUAAAAUAAAUGGCAAAUUAAUAAAUAUCCAUUCCUUCAAAAAAUUAAUUAAAUAUCCAUUAUUAGUUAAUAGUUACCAAAUUUCAAAGUUACAAUUUUAUAUUAUUCUACUUCAUCUUCUUAUUUUCUUCUUUCUCUAUUUCCUAAUUCUUCUAUUAUCCCUUGAUAUGUAAGAAGAAUGCUACAGAUCGUAACACGAUUCUUCUAGAACAUAACUAUUGAUUUUCUUCAUUUCUUCAGAUCCAAAUUGUCUAACAUGCUAAAGACUUAACUAAAAUUCAUAAUAAAUGGAUUAAGGAAACAUCAUAUAACAACAUGUCAUCUUUGUUUCCUUUUUAUUAUUUUUAUAGGUUUAUAAAACUUUUGUUUGUGUUUCUAGUUUAUUUAUGAUGUGUAUAGUUAUAAAUCAACUUAUAUAUAUCUUUUUUCGGAAUGAAACACUAUCACCACAAUUCCAAAUAUAAUUGUUUUAUUUAAACUUUAUUGAAUGUUUCUUCAAUGCUAUAAUACAUAUCAUCAAACACAAAGGAGUAAACAGAAAGUACAACUUUUUUUUUUUAACAAUACAGAAAGUACAACUUAAAUGGAAAUUGAAAACAUCAUUUUAAUAAUUAUCACAAUCCUUAGCACUAAUGUAAGUAUCACAACCUUAAAACUGUGUAUGUUUGUCCUCUAUCAGUAACAUAUUCAAGAUACAUCCUUGAAAAGAUCCAGCAAAGAAUUUUGUCCACAAGUUUCAAAUAAUUUACCCUCCAUUGCUUCCAAAACAUUAUGGGACAAAUGACUAUUCCGAAUCCAAACACAAAUCCCAGUUCUACACUUAUAAAAUUCCAGUCAAUUGAACAAGUAAGCCUUCCACAUGCUGGUUGUGGAUGCAAGUCAUGCCUUUUACCAUCUAGUCUUACCGUCAAUGGAGGACCAUAUAGUCCAUCAUUACCUUCAAAUGAAGAUGCUUCAAAUGACUGAAGUUGGGUACCUGUUGGGAUCAUCCCAACUAAAUGAUUGAAGGAGAGGUUCAAAUAAGAAAGGAAUGACAUGCUUGCAAGUUGCACUGGAAUUUCACCAACCAAUGAGUUAUUUGAGAGGUCCAAGGACUCCAACUGUUUCAGGUUCCCAAUAGUUGAUGGGAUUUCACCAGAGAGAGCAUUGUUUGAAAAGUUGAGAACAUGGAUUGCUUUGAAGUCCAUUAGCACAUCUGGUAUUGGUCCUUCAAAAUGAUUGGAUGAGAAGUCAAUGGUUGUAAAUAUUGUUAGAAUUUUAACCAACUCCAUUUGUCGACCUUUAUUGGAAACUGUCGCACUAUCCUGGUAAUAUGAUAAUAAUGAAUCCCCUGUGUGGACAAAGUCUGAUACAUUAUCAUUUUCUUCACGCUUCAUUCUUUCCCAUGAUGUGAAAUAUUUUUCAGGUAGCUUCCCAUUGAAAUUGUUGAAAGCAAUAUCAACAAUUUGAAUCAUUUUCCAAGGCUUAUUUUCGAGUGAAUGUGAACAUUCUAUUGAACCAUGCAAUAUGUUGUUCCGCAAAACCAAAACACUAAGUGUUGGUAUGUUUUUCAAAAAGCAUGGAAAGCCACCAAAAAUUUGAUUUGAUCCAAUGUCCAAUACUUUUAUUAAAGAGCAAUGGAAAAGAGACUUUGGAAUUGGCCCAUGUAAGAGAUUUCCAUGGAAGUUCAAAGUGCUUAUACCACAAGAAGUUGGAAACAUAUCUGGUAUGAGGCCAGUGAGAUUGUUCUUUCUCAAAUUUAAUGCCUCGAGGGUAUUAGUCAUUGUCAUUAAACAUGGAGAAAUUGUUCCAGAAAUGUUGUUGUAGGAAAUAUCAAGCACUAGAAGUUGCAAAGCAUCACAAAGGGAAUCGGGGAUGCUUCCCUGUAAAUUAUUUUGUGAAAGAGAGAGAAAAUAAGUGGAAGACAAAUAAUUACCAAUAUCUUGUGGGAUAGUAGAGCUAAAUUUAUUCCUUGAGUAAUCUAAAUAUGCAGCAUGUUUAGAAAAAAAAGGUAUUGGCCCUUGUAGUUGGUUGUUAUGAAGAUCAACUACGUAUAAAUAUGAGGAAGCUAGAUUUUCUAGAGGUCCUUCCAAUUCAGUGAGAAAAUUGUGAGAAAUAUUCAGCUGUUCAAGACUUAGUGUCCAAAUCCAAUUGGGCACUACUCCGUGAAUUUGGUUAGCUGAAAGGUCUAGAUGGAAUAACAUGGAUUGGUUCAUCAAGAAAUUAGGGAAAGUUUUCAAGUUGCAGGUUGCCAAUUCUAGACGUGUAAAUUUGGGAAAGAAAGUAUGAUCAACAUUUGCAUCACUUACAUUGAUUGAUAUGUUGUUAUAUGAAAGGUUUAGUGCAGUUAAAUUUCUAAGCUCCAAAAGUUUAUCUAGAUGCAGUGACCCAUUCAACCUGUUAGAGGAAAGAUCGAGGACAGAAAGUGAACGAAGCAGGAAGAUAGAUGUUGGAACAGACCCUGCUAGAUUAUUUCUACUUAAAUCAAGGGUGUUAAUUACAGAGGAAGACACAUUUAUGAAUUCGUCAAAUUUACUAAACCGGUUGCAUGAAAGCUGAAUCUUUUGCAGUAACGCGAGUGUAAAAAGGGAUGACGGAAUACUCCCUAUUAUAAAAUUAUAACUCAAGUCAAUGCUGACAAGAUGGUGUAGUUUUUCAGAGUGAGAAGAUGAUGGAAUUGUACCACUUAAUUGAUUAUGAGAAAGGUCUAGGUGGAUAAGACUUUUGGCCUUGCAAAAUGAUGGCAUUGGACCUGUGAAGCUGUUAAAUGACAAAUCUAUGUAUCUAAGUUCUGUAAGGAUUGAGAGUGAAUUGGGAAGUGGUCCAUUAAGUGUACUAUUAGAAAGAUCCAAUUCAGAUAAGUUCCUCAUGUUACUAAUUGUGUGUGGAAUUGCUCCCGAGAAGAUUGUGUUACCUGCCCUAAAGGUAUGGAUAGAUACACUCAAUGGAAAUUCUGGAAAUGAACUAUGGAGAUUUUUGUUUAAUGUUAAGUCAAUAAAUGACAAUGUUCCAAUUUGGAAGAUCUUAUGUGGAAAUGUAUCAGUCAAUCUACAAGCUGCAAGACUAAGGGUUGUCAAAUUUCUGAAAUUGGAAAAUGUUUCAGGCACCGGGGAAGAAAAAUUGUUUCCAUCAAGAAUAAUGAUCGAUAAAUUCUUUAGUCUUGACAGAGAUGAAUCAAGGGGUCCUGUUAAAUUGCAGUUAGACAUGGUCAGUUCUUCUAGACCACGCAACGGCAACAAAGCAUUGCUCCAUUCAUGCCCUUUUGCUGUUAUAAUUACACCAUCCAGAUACAACUGCCUAAUACUGGUAAAAUUUCGGACAAGGUUUUGUAGAUUUGGGUUUUCAAGUUUCAGCCCUUGUCCUGUUAAAUAACUAAGAGAAGAGAGAUCAAGAGUAACCAACCUUUUGAGCUGAGAAAUCUCUACAGGAAUUUGCCCCACAAAGCUAGCAUAUGACAAAUUCAGAUAUGUCAACUUCUCCAACUUGUUGAAUCCUGAUGGAAUGGAAGAAUUGAAAUAGUUAUCAGCCAAAUUCAGUUUCUGGAGGUGUUGCAAACUGAAAAGACUGCUUGAAUCGUUAAAUCCACCAUGGAUAUCUUCGUCACUAAGGUCAAGGCCAAUAACAUGUCCCUCAAUGUCACAUGUAACACCCCUCCAAUUGCAGCAAGCAGUGCUUUGAUUCCACAAUAUUAGUUUGGUGGAAUAUUCAGGAUUGAAUGUGAGAUUGUUUUUUAAUUGAUGCAACAAUGAUUGUUGAUCCUCAAGACAUUUGGUAGAGGCAUGAGUGAUAUAUAUGAAGUAGUAGCAGAGAAGGAAUGAAACUAAUAUAAUUCUCAUUGCUCUCAUUCUAAUUAAUUACUCUCGGACACAAUUUUAGUUUGAUAUAUAUGAUGUAUGUGAUAAAUGGUGGUAUUAUAUAGUUGAAAUUUUACUCUUCCCCAAGGUGCAAUAGUAUAAGAGAAGUUUCGUUGAAGAAGAGCAGUGUGGUCACUCACAAUGACUUCCAAGUCUUUCCAAGACGUCAUACACCUCAUCAAUUCGGAUAGUAAUAAUUAAGGCUCUUAUGGUUUCAAGUAUGAAAAAAAAUCUUUUUGCAAAUAUUUUAUGAUGUAAUUUAUUAUUUGAUAUUAUCAUUUAUUGUUUUAUGACCAAGUUCAUUUCCAUUUCGUGUCAACUGCAUGGAAAGAAUCUCAACUUGAGAAACACUUGUAAGGAAACAUCAAUUGGCCCAUAGCAUGACCAUAAAACCAUAUCUUCCAUAUCCCAUGAAGAAACGGUUGCCAAGUUGAAUUACUAAAAUACUAACUAGUUAUUGAAGAAUAAAUCAAAUUUAUCCAUACUUCGCGUUGUAGGAUUGAAAUUUUCUAUGAGAACUAAAGUUAAUAUCAAUCUUUAGUACGGGAUCCACCGAUAAUUAUGUUCGGGAGACUGGGGGUGGCGGGAGAAACAACAAGCACAAAUAUUUUAGGACCACAAUAGAGGGAGACACCACAUCUCCAAAUUUAUCUAUUCAUAAAGGACGUGGGACUUGAGCACUCACUUGAAACCCAACAAAUUACAUACAUCAUGUGAUAUUUAUGUGCUUUUUAUUGUGAAUUUCAUUAUUCAAACUAGGCUUUUAACCUUGUUUUCUCUUUGUUAUUUGUUGUUUUAUGUUUGGGACGUUAAUAUGAGUAUUGUUUGGGAAUCCGUAUGAUUCUCUCUCAUUUUAAAUAAUUGCUUCUAGUUGUUUCUAUUUUCAAAAGUUUCCUUGUGGAACCGGCCAAAAGUAUAAAAGAAAUUUCAUGCAAAGGCAACAAAGCAAACUUUAUCAUAAAGUAAUCUUCAUAUUUUCACAUAAAACAUUACAUAAAGUCAUAACUUGACCCAUAAAUCCUUUUCUUAUUGGCCGAUUUUUCUUUGGAAAAUUUGAAUCACUCAAAGUGAAAACAAUGACCCUACAAUUUUGGAAUAAUUCUUAUUUGGAAACACUUGCACAGAAUAGAAUUUGAAGAAAAAUAAUAAUUUAAUAUUAAGCAUUUUUUAAACAAUUAUAUGAUUUUCAUUUUAUGAGUGUAUGACUAAAUAAUGUGUUCAAAUCUGUGUUCUUACAAAUAUUGCUCACAAUUUUAAAGUUCUAUAAUCGAUGACUAAGAGUUGCUCAAAAAUUGCUCACUUGGUUUCUAAUUAUAUUUUGAACAAUGACUAAGAAUUCAUUAUAAUGCAGUAAACUCGUGUUUAGAAAAUCCCUUUUCAUAUGAAGCAUAAUCUUUGUGGGUCCUCCAUUAAUUGUCCCUAAAAAAUGUUUACUUGAAAAGUGCAAGACAGCUUUGAAUUAAUGUCUUUUACAGCCAAAUGAUAACAUAUAGGAAAGUUCCUUUCAAUUUCAUGGUAACACAGAAUGGAAAAAUAGCAUCCAGUGGAAAUAAUUCAGAAAAAGGAUUGGCUAUGAUUUGGCAUUAGGAAAUGUAAUUGUCAAAAGAUAAUUGAUUAAUGAAGGUGAUACAUAGCAAUAAAGACAAUCACGAAGAAGUUGCAGUCAAUCAUAAUUAAAACAAAAUCAGCCUAAAAAUACAGGAGUCGCCAAAUAUUAGAACUGUUUAAUGCACAAAUAUUAUGGAUUGCGGUAUAACGUGUUCAACCAAUUUCAUGCACUGUUUUAUGAACUACAGUGGAAAUCUUAUGAACCGCAUUGGAAGCAUUUAUCUGAUGCUAGAUUUGUUGGUAAGAUUCCAAUAGAGAUUUCCCAUGUGACAAGGUUUGGUUCUUUGUCCCUCAAAUCAAGAGAAAUUUAGUAAUUUAUUUAUAACCAGAAGGAGGUGGCAACUUCCUCAUAGAAGCCACGAGCAGAACAUUUUAGAUUAGUGAAAGUAAUAGACAACAAUCAAUAUUGUAGCAUUUUGUAUGAGAAUUAAAACAAAACCACUCUACAAUACAAAAACAUUUUAGAAUUAAUGUCUUUUGAUUUAUGCAAAUAACAGAAAUUGUAUGCCAUGGAAAUAAGGUUUUCUAUAAACAAUACAAUGCAGUGUCAAGGUGACAUCAUAUAUUUGAACCACCGGCUUUGUAAAAUUCACUUCAUUGUUAAUAAAAUAUUCUUUAUCACCAUGGUACUAAUUAAUAUAAUUAAUGUACGUCAAAUCUCAUAAUAUUAUGCUGGAUAAAUCUUGCAUUACUGUCUUUUAAUUUGGAAAUCACAGGAACUGAGUUAGACCUUCAAAAUCAAAUUAAACAAUUGUUAUACUUAGCUUUUUGAGUUGUAUCCUCUUGGUUUCCUUUUUAUAUCGGAUGAAACACUAUCACCGCAAUUUUCAACAAGACUGCUUUAUUUAAACUUUAUAGAAUGUUUCUUCAAAGUUAUAGUACAUAUCAUCACACACAAAGGAGUAAACACAAAGUACAACUUAAAUGGAAAUGGAAAUAGAAAACAUUAUUUCAAUAAUUAUCACAAUUCUUAGCACUAAUGUUAUCACCACCUUAAAAUUCUGUAUGUCUGUCCUCUAUCAGUUGCAUAUUCAAAAUGCAUCCUCUGGAAAAUCAAACAGAGAAUUUUGUCUACGAGUUUCCAAUAACUUACUCUCCAUUUCUUCCAAAACAAGAGGGGACCAACGAUGAUUCCGAGCCCAAAAACAAAUCCCAAUUCCACACUUAAAAAAUUCCAGUCAAUUGAACAAGCGAAUCUCUCACAUGCUGGUUGUGGGUGCGGCUUAUCUGGCCCAUCAUUUGGUGUUUCAGUUAAUGGAGGUCCAUAUAGCCCAUCAUUUCCUUCAAAGGAAGAUGCUUCAAAUGAUUGAAGUUGGGUACCUGUUGGGAUCUUCCCCACCAAAUGAUUGAUGGAAAGGUUCAAGAAAGAAAGGAAUGACAGGCUUGCAAUCUGCACAGGAAUCUUACCAACCAGAGAGUUAUUUGAGAGGUCCAAGGACUCCAACUGUUUCAGGUUCCCGAUAGUUGAUGGAAUUUCACCAGAGAGAGCAUUGUUUGAAAAGUUGAGAACAUAAAGUGCUUUGAAGUCCAUCAGCACAUUUGGUAGUGGUCCUUCAAAAUGAUUGGAUGAUAAAUCAAUGGCUGUGAAGAUUUUUAAAAUUUUAACCAACUCUAUCUGUUGACCUUUAAUGGAAACUGUCAUACUAUCCUGAUAAUAUGAGUACGAUGUGAGUUCCCGGUCCCCUAUGUAGAUAAAGUCUGAUUCACCAUCAUCUUUAUUAUUCAUCAUUCUUUCCCAUGUUGUGAAAAAAAAUUCAGGUAGUUUUCCACUGAAAUUGUUGAAAGCCAUGUCCAAAAUUUGAAUCCUUUUCCAAGGCUUUUUUGCCAGUGAGAGUGAACAUUCUAUGGAACCAUGCAAUCUAUUGUUCCGCAAAACCAAGACACUAAGUGUUGGUAUGUGUUUCAAAAAGCAUGGAAAACCACCAACAAUUUGAUUUGAUCCAAUGUCCAAUACCUUUAAUGAUGUGCAGUGUGAGAGAGACUUAGGUAUUGGCCCUUGUAAGAGAUUUCCAUGGAAGUUCAAAGUACUUGCAACACAAGAAGUUGGAAACAUAUCUGGUAUAGGGCCAUUGAUAUUGUUCAUCCUCAAAUUUAAUACAAGAAGGGUACUACUAGUCAUUCUAAUUAAACAUGGAGAAAUUGUUCCAGAGAUGUUGUUGAAUGAAAUAUCAAGCACUUGAAGUGAGAGAUUGCAUAAGGAUUCAGGAAUGCUUCCAUGUAAAUUAUUGUUGGAUAAAGAGAGAAAUCUUAAGGAAGGGAGGGAAUUACCAAUAUCUUGUGGGAUAACAGAAAAUUUGUUCAUUGAGCAAUCCAAAUAUUGAACAUAUUCAAGAAAAGCAGGUAUUGAUCCUUGCAAUUUGUUAUUAUGAAGGUCAAGAGACAUCCAGUCAUUAGUAAGAUUUGGCAAAGGUCCUUCCAAAUCAGUGAGAAAAUUGUGAGAAAUAUUAAGGAUUUCAAGCCCUUGCAUUUUCCAAAUCCAAUUUGGUACUAUUCCUUGAAUCUGGUUAUUUGAAAGGUCAAGCACGCUCAAUUGAUUUUGGUUUUUCAAGAAACUAGGGAAAAAUUUCAAGUUGCAAGAUGCCAGUUCUAGUAGAAAAAAGCAAGGAAUAGAAGAUUGAUCAACAUUAGCAACAUUCCCAUUAAUUGAUAUGUUGUUGUAUGAAAGGUUUAGUUCAGUUAAGUUUCCAAGCUCCAAAAUUUUAUCUAGCAAUAGGGAUCCGUUGAACUUGUUAGAAGAAAGGUCGAGUUCUUUAAGUGAACCAAGCUGAAAGAUAGAUGUUGGAAAAGGACCAGAUAGAUGAUUGCUGCUUAAAUCAAGAGUGUUUAAUGAGGAGGGAGAGAUGAUUGUAAAUUCAUCUACUGUAUUGAAGUGGUUGAAUGAAAGAUGAAUCUCUUGUAUCGACAGCAGCGAAAAAAGGUCUGUAGGAAUUCUGCCAUCGAUAGAAUUAUAACUUAAGUCAAUGAUUUCAAGAUUCUCCAGUCCUUCAAAGUUAGAAGAUAAUGGAAUUUCGCCACUUAAACUAUUAUCUGAAAGGUCUAGGUGGAUAAGGUUUUUGACCAUGCCAAAUGGUGGCAUUGGACCUGUGAAACUAUUGUUUGACAAAUCCAAGUAACUGAGGUGUGUGAGGUUUGACAAUGAAUUUGGAAGUGUUCCAUUAAAUUGACAACUGGAAAGAUCCAAUUUAGAUAAGUGCCUCAAUUUGCCAAUAGAGCUAGGUAAUGCUCCAGAGAAGUUUGUGUAACUCACUAUAAUGCUAUGAAGAGAUUCACUUAGUGAGUAGUCUGGGAAUGAACCAUGGAGAUUGUAGUUAAAUGAUAAGUCAAUAACAGACAAUGUUUCAAUCUGAAAAAUAUUUUGUGGAAAUGUACCGGUCAACCCACAAUCUACAAGACUGAGGGUGGUCAGGUUUUUAAAAUUGGCAAAUGUUUGUGGCACUGGGGAUGAAAAAUUAUUGUCACCAAGAAUAAUGACUGAUAGGUUCUCUAGUUUUGAAAGGGAAGAAUCAAGGGGUCCUGAAAGACCACAGCUUGACAUGCCUAAUUCUUGUAGGUCACGGAACGGCAACAAAAGACUGCUCCAUUCAUAUCCUUGAGAUGGUAUACUUAUACCAUCUAGAUAUAACAUCCUAAUCUUGGUCAACUUUUGAAUACUGAAAAGACCACUGGAAUUGUCAAAUCCACCGGAUACUUCGUUUCUCAGGUCAAGGCCUAUAACUUGCCCCUCGUUAUCACAGGUUACACCACUCCAAUUGCAGCAAGGAAUGCUUUGAUUCCACUGCUCCAGUUUAUUAAAACUGUCUGCUUCGAAUGUGAGAUUGUUUUUAAUUUGGAGCAAUAAUGAUUGUUGAUCCUCAAGACAUUUAGCCGAGGCAACAGAUAUCUGGAAACUCAUAUAUAUGAAGUAGAGAAGGAAAGAAAACGUUGAAACUAAUGUAAUUGAUCUCAUUGUUGUUGGAUUACUUUGAUUUUCCACCACACAAGACAAGAGAAAACUGAGAAGACAGGUGAAAAAUGGUGUAUUUAUAAAGUUGCACACAAGAGAAGUUUCGUUGAACAAGACCCGUAAAGUUGUAACACAUGUAAUGGGAACUAAACAUUGCAUUAUUUCAAAGUGAACCUUAUAAUAAUUUAUAGUUUCUUGACCCAGAAAAUUUAUCUCCAUUGGCCAAUUUUUCUUUGGAAAUUUAGGAUCACUAAAAGUGAAAACAAUGACCCUACAAUGUUGAUAUUAAUUAAUUAUGCAUUAGUGUGCCAACCAUUGAGAAAAUAUGUUAUCAUAAUGCAAAGAAAGUUGAUUUUCACAGAUACUAAAUACUCCAUUAGCUUGGCUCUUAAAGCAUAAAUUCAGCACAUCAUAUUUAUAGUGGUUUAUGAAUAUCUAUCCUUCUAUCUUUCACUCAAUAAACAUUUCUCUAUAUUGAUAUUAACUUGUUUAUUUUAAUUUACUCCAAAUAAAAUGAUUGCCACGGUAAAUAAAUCCUUUUUCUUUCUGUAGUUACUACAUGAAAAUCACACAUAUUAAUAGGUUGAGGUUCAAUGCGUUGCGUGCAAAGAUUUAAUGUUAGACACAUUUUGAAAAGGAUAUUCUUGCUGCCUGUCACUAUCCAACCCCUCAUAUUUGACACAAGACUACUCAGGCAGUAUAAACAAUAUACUCAGACAGGCUCUUUUAAUUUGUUUCUCUUUUAUUAAAGGUAAUUUUUUCAAUUAAAAAAGUCAUGGUUACAUUACAACUGACAAUUUAUGUUUUCUCACUAAUCCGUGGUUGAUGGUUAAAGUGACAUCACCAUCGGUUUAAAGAGAUAGUGGUAAUUUUAGUCAUCGGUAAUUUUUUGAGCAGAUUUCUCAAUUUUAUCAUAGUCGCAUCUAUUCUUUGAUUUAAUCAAUGGGAUGGCAUAAGACAGUCAAGAUGUAAAUAUCAAUGCCUCUGAUCCAACCUCUUUCUUGGCAUCUUUAAAAAUUCGGAUUAUUUGCCACCUGUGCCACGGAAUGCUUUUGUUUAACCUUUAAAAUGGUAGAAAUUAGAGUUUGUUCUUAGAAAACUUGUUGAAGGUUAAUUUAUUGUAACUUCUGAUAUCUCUUUUUAAGAAAGUUUUUGAUGAUGGAUUUGAUAGUAUCUCUCGUUCAGACGUAGGUCAAUUUGACCGAACUGAAAAAACAUAUAUUGAUGUGUUCUUCAUUUCUUUUAUCUUAUUUUAUUAUUUGUGACAAGUUUGGUUGAUGCUAAUUUUUCAUCAAACAUUAAAGUAUUAGUGUGAUUUUUAUCUUAAUUCACAUCAUUUAAUUAUUAAGCAUAUUCUUUUUGUGUCAACUGCAAGCUAGGAAAGAGGCUGAAGUUGAGAAACACUUGUUAGGAAACAUCGAUUGGUCCAUAGCAUGACCAAUUGACCAUAAAACCUCAUCUUCCAUCCAUGAAGAAACGGUUGCCAAGUUGAAUUACUAAAAUAUACUAACUAGUCAUCAUUGAAGAGUAAAUCAAAUUUAACCAUACUUCACGUUAUAGGAUUAAAAAAGACAUUCAUUUCCGCUGACGCUUUCCUAUAUGUUAUCAUUUGGCUGUAAAAGACAUUCAAAGCUGUGAAUAAAAAAUAUCCAUGGGAUUUUCACGUUAUAGUCUUCAAACUUUUUCUUCUUCUCUAUGGCAGUGGCAAAGAAAAUGGCUAUCUAAAUUAAAAAUAACUUGUUUCUUCAAACUACAGAUCGGUGCAGCGCCAUGCAUGGAUUUUUCUAAUCAAGUCAAAACAAGUCAGACUCGAAACCCAUUUACAGUUGGUCCUCUCAAUUAAAGACUCCUUGUUUCUUAACAGAUCAGUCAGCUAUGAAUUUUUAAUCAAUUUGAAACCAAGUUAUAGUUUCGGUUAUCUCGAUUAAAAAACCCUUACUUCUUCAUUCCUGGAUUUUCUAGGUUAAAAUUUUUAACUUAAUUUUUGUUAAACGUAAAUGAGUUUGUUUUCUUGCAAGACUUAGCGUAAACAAUUUUAACAUCAACAAGAAAGUAUGUGUUCAAUUUUAACAUCAACCGAGAGUUCAAUUCAAUUGGCUGAUUUUUUUCUAUUGGCUGAUUUUUAUUUGGAAAAAUGAAUGACUUAAAAGUGAAAGCAAUGACCCAACAAUUAAAGUUAUAUUAACGGACUUCCAAGCCUUGCUUUCGGUGGUCUGACCACAUUUUUGUUUUUGCAUUCUCACUUGGUCUUAAUUACAUUUCUAACAAUGACUAAGAAUCCAUUAUGAUGAAGUAAGUGGUGUUUACAAAUUCACUUUUCAUAUUAAACAUAAUCUUUGUGGGUCCUUCAGCGUCCCUAAGAAAAAUAUUACCUUGAAAAGUGCAAGACAGCUUUGAAUGUCUUUUACAGCCAAAUGAUUACAUAUAGGAAAGUUCUCUUCAAUUUCAUGGUAACACAGAAUGGAAAAAUAGCAUCUAGUGGAAAUAAUUCAGAAAAGGGAUUGGCUAUGAUUUGGCAUUCGGAAAUGUUAUUGUCAAAAGAUAAUUGAUUAAUGAAGGUGAUACAUAGCAAUAAAGACAAUCAUGAAGAAUUUGCAGUUUCAAUGAUAAUUAAAUCAAAAUCAGCCUACAAAUACAGGAUGUUUAUAUGAACAUUUGAACCUUCCUAAUUAUUUAUGCUCAUUUGAAACUUUGGCUGGUGACAAAGGAUAAGCUGUUUGAUGCAAAAGCAGGGCAUGUAGUAAAGGUUGUACUGGUUUGUACUUUUUGAGAUAUAUGCAUUGCCACUUAAUUAAGAAGACUAUAUGAAGAUUAAUCCAAAUAAUGAUUGGGGUAUAAUGAGUCCAACCAAUUUGAUAUCUAUGUGAAAGGAUUAGCAUUGAAUCUUGAGAAUGAGAAUGUAAGAAUUGGAUAGUGGUAUGUUAAAGGAAUACGGGCUAUCAAAAUGUUCGAAUUUUUACACAUAGAGGAGGUGUUACAGCUUUUGAGAUAGCACUCAUUAGUUGCCAAGCUUGCAAAAUGUUGUUUUGGUUUCAUAAAGGUGGACUAUUUAGGACUUACCUUUUAAAUCCAAGAAGUUGAGAUGGACCAAUCUAAAAUUAAAUCUGUAAUUGAUUUGCCUACUUCAUCAAAACUAAAGGGACUCUUAAUUUAGUCAGGAUAUUAUAGAAGAUUCAUCUCUAAUUAUUCAAUCAUUACUAAUCGUCUUACUGCAUUAUUAAAAAAAGAUGGAUUAAUUUGUUUGGAACCAACAGGCCAAGGAAAUUUUUGACGCACUCAAAAAGGCUAUGGCUAAAAUACCUUAUCUCAUCUUCCUGAUUUCUCAAUGUCAUUUAUACAAGAAAAGACGCAUCAGGUAUCGGGCAUUGGCGCCAUUUUGAAUCUUCCUAUUUAUAGGGAGUUAUAUGCAAUAUUUGAGGCAAUGGCUAAGUUUAAACAUUAUAUAUAUUUUGGCAACCAACUCAUAAUUCGGACUGAUAAUCAGAGUUUGAUGUCACUGCCUGAUCAAACAAUUCAAACCCCUGAACAAAUCUAAAUAUGAUUUUGUAGCUAUAAUUAAAAUCGUCAUUUCAUAACUACUGACAGUUCAUUUCCUCAUUUGGUUCCAUUGAGAAAACCCAAACAAAGAUAUUUGCACAAGUCUAAAUAUGAUUUUGUAGCUAUAAUUAAAAUCGUCUAUCAAAGAAAACACCAUCACCACAACUCCAUGUGAUACUAGUUUAUUUGAAUUUGCCCAUGUAUCUGUAACUAAAAUCAGUCUACAAAUACAUGUUGUUGAGCUUAUAGGUGCUCCAUUGUUAAUGUCAAAUUUUUAUGCAAUCUAUAUAACAGAAAUUUUGUAUGCCUUCCAUUAAAGAUACAAGUUUUUUUUUUUAGGGAUUAAAGAUACAAGUUUCAAUAUUGGCUUUGUAAAACCACUUCAUGAUAAUAUAAAUUCUACUUGUAAAAAAAAAAAGGCUAUAUAAAUUCUUUAACUUAAUCAAGUCCUUAUUUUAUAUACUGGAUGAGUUAUAACAAUUGUCUAAUCAAUAAUUUAGUUUGUGAAGAAUUAAUAAACUAAUAAAUUUUCAAAAACAAGUUGAUGAAUGUGACAAGUUUCUAGUGGCACCCCAUAAUACCCCACAAGUUUCUAUCAGAUAGAUGAUUUUGUAGAAACUCCAUAGAUGACCUUCAACGAAGUUACUCUUCAACUAUUAACCAGUUCCACACUGGAAAAUACAGGGAAGAUUACAUUUGUCUGCAACUUCUUUAUAACACAAACAUUUUUGUUGUGAUUGUCACUAACAGUAAAUAACAAUGAGAAUCACAUUAGUUUCAUUGUUUUCCUUCCUUCUAUGCUACUACUGCAUAUAUCUCACUUUCCAAAUCACUGUUGCCUCAGCCAAAUGUCUUGAGGAUCAACAAUCGUUGUUGCUCCAACUAAAAAAUAAUCUCACAUACAACCCUGAAACUUCCACCAAACUAAAAUUAUGGAAUAAGAGCACUGCUUGCUGCUAUUGGAAUGGUGUAAGUUGUGACAGCAAAGGACACGUGAUUGGCCUUGACUUUAUUGCAGAAGACAUCUCUGAUGGUUUUGAUAAUUCAAGUAGUCUUUUUAGUCUCCAUCAUCUUCAAAAAUUGAACUUGGCUGAUAACAAUUUCAAUUCUGUUAUUCCAUCAGGAUUUAACAAAUUGGUGAUGUUGAAUUAUCUGAAUUUAUCAUAUGCUAACUUUGUGGGGCAUAUUUCUAUAGAGAUUUCUCAGCUUACAAGGUUGGUUACUCUUGAUCUCUCUUCUCAAAGUAACUAUGUAUGUAUAAAGAAAGGGCUGAAAUUUGAGAACACAAAUCUACAGAAAUUUGUCCAAAAUCUGACCAGUCUUAGGAAGCUGUAUCUAGAUGGUGUAAGUUUAAAAGCUCAGGGACAAGAAUGGAGUGAUGCUUUGUUUCCGCUGCGUAACCUCCAAGUAUUGAGUAUGUCUUAUUGUGAUCUAUCAGGACCCCUUUCUUCUUCCCUAACAAGACUAAAGAACCUAUCAGUCAUUAUUCUUGAUGGGAACUAUUUCUCAUCCCUAGUGCCAGAAACAUUUUCCAAUUUUAAAAAACUAACCACCCUCAGUCUUUCAUCUUGUGGAUUGACAGGUACAUUUCCACAAAAUAUCUUUCAAAUUGGAACAUUGUCAUUUAUUGAUUUAUCAUUCAACUACAAUCUCCAUGGUUCAUUUCCGGAAUUUCCGCUGAGUGGAUCUCUCCAUACCUUAAGGGUAAGUAACACAAGCUUUUCUGGAGCAUUUCCAUAUUCUAUUGGUAACAUGAGGCAUUUAUCUGAAUUGGAUCUUUUAAAUUGUAAAUUUAAUGGAACACUUCCCAAUUCACUGUCAAACCUUACAGAGCUUAGAUGCAUUGAUUUGUCAUCUAAUAACUUUGCUGGUCCAAUGCCAUCAUUUGGCAUGUCCAAAUAUCUUAUCCACCUAGACCUUUCUCAUAAUCGUUUAAGUGGUGAAAUUCCAAAAUCUUCUCACUUUGAAGGACUACACAGUCUUGUCAGCAUUGACUUGCGUGAUAAUUCUAUCAAUGGGAGCAUUCCUUCAUCUCUUUUUGCACUCCCCUCACUGCUGGAGAUUCAGCUUUCAUCCAACCGGUUUAGUAAAUUUGACGAAUUCAAAAACAUGUCUUCCUCUGUAAUUAACACCCUUGAUUUAAGUAGCAAUAAUCUAUCAGGGCCUUUUCCAACAUCUAUCUUCCAGUUCAGAUCACUUUAUGUCCUCGAUCUUUCCAUUAACAGGUUGAAUGGUUGGGUGCAGCUAGAUGAGCUUUUGGAGCUAAGUAGUUUAACUGCCCUAGACCUUUCAUACAACAACAUAUCAAUCAAUGUGAAUGUUGAAAAUGCUGAUCAUACUUCGUUUUCCAAUAUUAGUACUUUAAAGUUGGCAUCCUGCAACCUGAAAACUUUCCCUAGUUUCUUGAGAAACAAAUCCAGAUUGAGCAUUCUAGACCUCUCACAUAAUCAGAUUCAAGGAAUAGUUCCCAACUGGAUUUGGAGGAUUCAAAAUCUUCAAAGCCUUAAUGUUUCUCAUAAUAUGCUCACUGAUUUGGAAGGCCCUCUGCAAAACCUCACUUCCAACUUAAUAGCCCUUGACAUUCAUAACAACCAAUUGGAAGGUCCAAUUCCUGUUUUUCCUGAAUUUGCUUCUUAUUUGGAUUACUCAAUGAACAAAUUUGAUUCUGUUAUCCCAC